UAUAUACAUGCAUACAUAUGUAUCCUCUUAUUAGUUGGAUUUGAGUGGUUUGGCGCGUAGGAGGGGUCAACCCCUUCCAGGGGGCUCUAAGUUAUAGAUAUGCUGGGGCUUAUCCACUAUGCUAAUCCAGUCACGUUUUUAUUAGCAAAUGAAGCAGUUGUGCUGGAGGGAGAAAAUAAUAUGUGCUUCUAUUAGAUCCUGCUGUCACAUAUGAAGUUGGUUACAGAAGAGAACGUGACAUUCUUUAUACUAGGCUUUCACGGGCCUCAGUAAAAAUUAGGUCAACCACUUUAGUAAAGUGAAAAGGAAUACAAAAUAGUUCUGUAGAGUCCACAGUCAGAUUCUUGCAUGUGGGCCCAUCCCUUGCAUGGUUCGAGCGUAUUUAUGGUAUUAGAGCCAAUUCUAGGGUACGAUGGGUGGCAGGAGCCCAAUCGAUUGGGCAGUCAUGGAAUGGGAGAGGAAUUACUUCACAUCUAAUGGGAUAUUUGUGAUGUCCCAUGUCAGUUCUGGAGGAAUUAAUAUUAGCCUUCCCGUUUGGCUAAUUUAUAAAUGGUUAAACUUCAUUUUCAACCACACAUUCCAAUAUACCCAUAAGUAGUAUCCACUUAUGCACCACUCAUUUAUAUCUAUUUAUGAAUUUAGCCAUUUAUAAAUUCUUCUUAAAUGGAAGCUUAAUUAUGUAGGUGUGAUGGGCUUCUAUAGUAUCAUGGUUUAGCUAUUUUAAAAGAACAAAUGUCAAAUAGUUUGUGCAGCUGCUGCAGGUAUAAAGUGGGACACUUUCGGUGCUAAAUGAAUGAUAAGACGGUUUAGAUUUUGAACUUAUCUUGAACUUAAGUAACGAUACAAUUCCUAUGUAUUAUUAUCCCUUGAUUAAUAAAAUAUUUGGUUACUUUAAAAAAAAAAAAAAAAAAAAAAAAAAAAAAAAAAAAAAAAAAAAAAAAAAAAAAAAAAAAAAAAAAAAAAAAAAAAAAAAAAAAAAAAAAAAAAAAAAAAAAAAAAAAUUCAUUUCUCGAAAAAUAAAUAUAUUCAUUUGUUAACAUGUUUGGUCUUCAUUUUUUAAAAUUUAUUUUUCUUUAAACAUAUUUUCAAUAAUAUAUGUAUGGAAUUCACACUUUUACUCUUGGAUUAACCCCAUCAAUAAAUUAUUAUUUAAACGAUUCGUAAACAUUUUAAUUGAUAUUAUUUUUUGGUCAACCAAAUGGUUACUAUAUACCUUUUAGUAUAUAUAUAAAAAUAAUGUUUUUAUUUAAACUUACUUAUUUGUUCAAAAAUAAACUUUCUAUGGUGAAAGAGAUAGUGUGAAGAAAUAGAGAGACAUGACCGUAGCGUGUAAAAAUGGAGAAAGAGUAAAGAGAGCUCUAUGACAUAAUUCUCCAUGCUGCGUAAAUUGGGGAAAAGCAACAACACGUAAGAUAAAUGACGUCGUUUCUUUCUCUCAAAUAAAAAAAAAAGAAAAAGAAAAAGCUCCUUGUCUUAAUCUGCCUUAGUAAAUUUUAUGGUCUUGGAUAUGCUACUAGUGAGCUUCACAAGCCAAGCUAAUAUAGUUUACACGCUUAAAAGCAUAUUCAGUUCCAUCUGGUUUCAACUUAUGAGCCAACCUGUCAUGGCUUUAGAUGAGUCAAACUGGAGCUGAUCCUAUUCAGCUAGAGCAUCUUUACAACUUCAGCCACUAACAAGAUAAUGAGAAAAGGCGAUCUUAUGAAUGUCGAACUAACUGAAUCGUUUAAAAUGCACGUGCAGAUACAUUUUCUGGACUAUUUUUUCUUUAUUUCAUUGUUUAUUCUCUUAGAAUAAGGCUGAAUGUACAGGAAAUCUUUCUUUCACAGAUUUCCCUGUAAGUGUAGCACUUCGCUCUUUCUUAAGAUGAGACAGUUGUUGGUAGUUCUGGAUUUAAAUGAAUUAGUGGAAAAGAAUGUAUGUAGCCUGACUCCAGUUUUAUUGGAACAAGGCUUAACUUGUUUGUGGGCAAUUUCUUGAUUUGAGAGACUAUUUUACUAGAUGGCUACAUUCCCUAGUGUAAAUUCUGUUUUUGAAUUCAGAUGAUUCAUCUCAAUCACUCUUCAAUUCUUUUUCCUGUGUCGUUUCGUGCAGAUGGAUUUGGUCUUUUGGCUUCAAGUUGCUGGGAAUGUUUUUGGAAAUUCCAUUUCAUUUGUGAAGGAAGGAUAUGGCAAUAGGAAAUUCUAGUUUUGAAAUAUUACACUUGUAGUGUCAAAUGGUUAGCCUAGGAAUUUGUGUAUUAUCUAUGUAAUGUUCUGAAUUAUAAUUUCCUUUUAAUUUUGCUAUUAAACCGUCCUAUAAAUUUCUAGCAUGUUUUGUAGUUUUCAAUUUUUUUUUCCUAUUUUUCUAUAAUUUAUAUUGAUAUUGGGGCUCUGAACGUACUCUUGUAACCAUUUAAACAUCAAGAAAUUGAUAUAUUAUUGAUUAGUAGGUGCAAUAUAUUUAUUUCUUGAUCCUUAAGUUAUCUAAGCCUUUGUUUGGCAAGUUUGUAAUGGUUUAUAAAGAGGAAUAGUAGUGGAAAUGUAUUGAUGAGUAGCAGUUAUGAAAGUUUGGUUAAAAUAACUUCGAC
rnacentral:lncRNA from 1 species